CGCUAGCGUCGCCUUUGUUGUUUUUGCAUCGUGAAACGAGGCAAAAUAGGCGAAACAAUUGGAUGCUAAUUAAUUCUUAUAUUCCUGUGAUUUCAUAUACCAAAUUGAACUUCGUAUCAUAUAUGCAUACUGUCAGUCAUUCCAAAAAGUUGACUUAGCGCUCAGUCACUUUCCAUCUAAUAGACCCAUCAUGUUGUCAAAAGCCUAAAACUAAUGUGUGAAACUCACAUAUCGUGGAAUACAAAUGUGUGGAGACAAGGUAUUUCCCCAUUACUGCUACCACACCAACCACACCAAACCAACCGCCUUACUAAAUUCAGCACCAUUCACCCAUAUAAUAAAGGAAAUUUACCUCAACCUAAGGAGUAAGGCUGUUGGUUGCUGUGAUUUCCAUUUUUGCGGUUUUUUAUCAUUAAAACUUCAGUGUGCUUGUUAGUAAAGCACGUAAUAGAUCCUUAAGCCAAUGCUGACCUUUGUCCAUGAAGGAAGUGGG